rnacentral:rRNA from 1 species
UACGUAGGGUGCAAGCGUUGUCCGGAAUUAUUGGGCGUAAAGAGCGUGUAGGCGGCCCGAUUAGUCCGCUGUGAAAGUCCAGGGCUCAACCCUGGAAUGCCGGUGGAUACUGUCGGGCUAGAGUCCGGAAGGGGCGAGUGGAAUUCCUGGUGUAGCGGUGAAAUGCGCAGAUAUCAGGAGGAACACCUGUGGCGAAGGCGGCCCCCUGGUUGGAUACUGACGCUGAUACGCGAAAGCGUGGGGAGCAAACAGGGU